rnacentral:tRNA from 1 species
GCCUGGGUGGCUCAGUCGGUUAAGCGGCUGACUUCGGCUCAGGUCAUGAUCUCGCGGUCCGUGAGUUCAAGCCCCACGUCAGGCU